rnacentral:tRNA from 1 species
AUAGUGAUUAGGUCAUCUUGAGGUCAUACCCAGGUCGAACGAGAUUGAGCAAAAGGCUUUCAAACUAUUUUCGGGUUGGGUUCAUGGGCUAUUAGCUCAGGUGGUUAGAGCGCACCCCUGAUAAGGGUGAGGUCCCUGGUUCAAGUCCAGGAUGGCCCACCUAAAGAGAAACACCGCAAAGCUGGGGGUAUAGCUCAGUUGGUAGAGCGCUGUCCUUGCACGGCAGAUGUCAGCGGUUCGAGUCCGCUUACCUCCACCAAAAAAUACUCAACCAAAAAAUACUCAACCAAAAGAACUUGUCAAGGAUAAGAGAAAAUGAUAGACUAGUUCGAGUGACAAUUUGAUGAAUCAGCAUCUCUUAUGGUGAAACAGACCUGCGAGAAUGCUGGCGACAUCAGCCAGUGAGAACCUAGAAAACUGCAUAGUAAAAGAGAAAGCAAGAAACAAAUAGCAGGUAGAUAAUUACCAAAUGUUUGUGCAAAUCAGGUCAAGCUAUCAAGAGCUAACGGUGGAUACCUAG